GAUGAACGCUGGCGGCGUGCCUAACACAUGCAAGUCGAACGGAGCUGCUUUGAUGAAGUUUUCGGAUGGAUUUAAAACAGCUUAGUGGCGGACGGGUGAGUAACGCGUGGGUAACCUGCCUCACACUGGGGGAUAACAGUUAGAAAUAGCUGCUAAUACCGCAUAAGCGCACGGUUCCGCAUGGAGCAGUGUGAAAAACUCCGGUGGUGUGAGAUGGACCCGCGUCUGAUUAGCCAGUUGGCGGGGUAACGGCCCACCAAAGCGACGAUCAGUAGCCGGCCUGAGAGGGUGAACGGCCACAUGGGGACUGAGACACGGCCCAAACUCCUACGGGAGGCAGCAGUGGGGAAUAUUGCACAAUGGGGGAAACCCUGAUGCAGCGACGCCGCGUGAGUGAAGAAGUAUUUCGGUAUGUAAAGCUCUAUCAGCAGGGAAGAAAGUGACGGUACCUGAAUAAGAAGCCCCGGCUAACUACGUGCCAGCCGCCGCCGUAACAC
rnacentral:rRNA from 1 species